GACGAACGCUGGCGGCGUGCUUAACACAUGCAAGUCGAACGGUAAGGCCCUUCGGGGUACACGAGUGGCGAACGGGUGAGUAACACGUGGGUGAUCUGCCCUGCACUUCGGGAUAAGCCUGGGAAACUGGGUCUAAUACCGGAUAGGACCACUGCCUGCAUGGGUGGUGGUGGAAAGCUUUUGCGGUGUGGGAUGGGCCCGCGGCCUAUCAGCUUGUUGGUGGGGUGAUGGCCUACCAAGGCGACGACGGGUAGCCGGCCUGAGAGGGUGACCGGCCACACUGGGACUGAGAUACGGCCCAGACUCCGACGGGAGGCAGCAGUGGGGAAUAUUGCACAAUGGGCGCAAGCCUGAUGCAGCGACGCCGCGUGAGGGAUGACGGCCUUCGGGUUGUAAACCUCUUUCAGCACCGACGAAGCGCAAGUGACGGUAGGUGCAGAAGAAGGACCGGCCAACUACGUGCCAGCAGCCGCAGGUAA
rnacentral:rRNA from 1 species